rnacentral:rRNA from 1 species
AUUGAACGCUGGCGGCAUGCUUUACACAUGCAAGUCGAACGGCAGCGCGGGGCAACCUGGCGGCGAGUGGCGAACGGGUGAGUAAUAUAUCGGAACGUACCCAGAAGUGGGGGAUAACGUAGCGAAAGUUACGCUAAUACCGCAUACGAUCUACGGAUGAAAGUGGGGGACCUUCGGGCCUCAUGCUUUUGGAGCGGCCGAUAUCUGAUUAGCUAGUUGGUGAGGUAAAGGCUCACCAAGGCGACGAUCAGUAGCUGGUCUGAGAGGACGACCAGCCACACUGGGACUGAGACACGGCCCAGACUCCUACGGGAGGCAGCAGUGGGGAAUUUUGGACAAUGGGCGCAAGCCUGAUCCAGCAAUGCCGCGUGAGUGAAGAAGGCCUUCGGGUUGUAAAGCUCUUUUGUCAGGGAAGAAACGGCCGAGGAUAAUACCUUCGGCUAAUGACGGUACCUGAAGAAUAAGCACCGGCUAACUACGUGCCAGCCGCCGCCGUAA